rnacentral:rRNA from 1 species
AGCGAACGCUGGCGGCAGGCUUAACACAUGCAAGUCGAACGAGAUCUUCGGAUCUAGUGGCAGACGGGUGAGGAACACGUGGGAACAUCCCUUUCAGUUCGGAAUAACGUUGGGAAACUAACGCUAAUACCGGAUACGUCCUUCGGGAGAAAGAUUUAUCGCUGAGAGAUUGGCCCGCGUCUGAUUAGCUAGUUGGUGAGGUAACGGCUCACCAAGGCUACGAUCAGUAGCUGAUCUGAGAGGAUGAUCAGCCACAUUGGGACUGAGACACGGCCGAAAAUCCUGCGGGAGGCAGCAGUGGGGAAUAGUGGACAAUGGGCGCAAGCCUGAUCCAGCCAUGCGGCGUGAGUGAUGAAGGCCUUCGGGUUGUAAAGCUCUUUCGCACGCGACGAUGAUGACGGUAGCGUGAGAAGAAGCCCCGGCUAACUUCGUGCCAGCCGCCGCCGCAG